UAGGGANUCUUCCGCAAUGGACGCAAGUCUGACGGAGCAACGCCGCGUGAGUGAAGAAGGUUUUCGGAUCGUAAAACUCUGUUGUUAGAGAAGAACAAGUGCUAGAGUAACUGUUAGCGCCUUGACGGUAUCUAACCAGAAAGCCACGGCUAACUACGUGCCAGCAGCCGCGGUAAUACGUAGGUGGCAAGCGUUGUCCGGAUUUAUUGGGCGUAAAGCGAGCGCAGGCGGUUCCUUAAGUCUGAUGUGAAAGCCCCCGGCUCAACCGGGGAGGGUCAUUGGAAACUGGGGAACUUGAGUGCAGAAGAGGAGAGUGGAAUUCCAUGUGUAGCGGUGAAAUGCGUAGAUAUAUGGAGGAACACCAGUGGCGAAGGCGACUCUCUGGUCUGUAACUGACGCUGAGGCUCGAAAGCGUGGGUAGCAAACAGGAUUAGAUACCCUGGUAGUCCACGCCGUAAACGAUGAGUGCUAAGUGUUGGAGGGUUUCCGCCCUUCAGUGCUGCAGUUAACGCAUUAAGCACUCCGCCUGGGGAGUACGACCGCAAGGUUG
rnacentral:rRNA from 1 species